CGCGGGAUUAGAGUUUGAUCAUGGCUCAGAUUGAACGCUGGCGGCAGGCCUAACACAUGCAAGUCGAGCGGAAACGAGAAUAGCUUGCUAUUCGGCGUCGAGCGGCGGACGGGUGAGUAAUGCCUGGGAAAUUGCCCUGAUGUGGGGGAUAACCAUUGGAAACGAUGGCUAAUACCGCAUAAUAGCUUCGGCUUAAAGAGGGGGACCUUCGGGCCUCUCGCUUCAGGAUAUGCCCAGGUGGGAUUAGCUAGUUGGUGGGGUAAAGGCUCACCAAGGCGACGAUCCCUAGCUGGUCUGAGAGGAUGAUCAGCCACACUGGAACUGAGACACGGUCCAGACUCCUACGGGAGGCAGCAGUGGGGAAUAUUGCACAAUGGGCGCAAGCCUGAUGCAGCCAUGCCGCGUGUAUGAAGAGGGCCUUCGGGUUGUAAAGUACUUUCAGCAGUGAGGAAGGGUGUGUAGUUAAUAGCUGCAUACUUUGACGUUAGCUGCAGAAGAAGCACCGGCUAACUCCGUGCCAGCAGCCGCGGUAAUACGGAGGGUGCGAGCGUUAAUCGGAAUUACUGGGCGUAAAGCGCAUGCAGGUGGUUUGUUAAGUCAGAUGUGAAAGCCCGGGGCUCAACCUCGGAACCGCAUUUGAAACUGGCAGGCUAGAGUACUGUAGAGGGGGGGUAGAAUUUCA
rnacentral:rRNA from 1 species